rnacentral:rRNA from 1 species
UACAGAGGGUGCGAGCGUUAAUCGGAAUUACUGGGCGUAAAGCGUGCGUAGCCGGUUAUGUAAGUCAGGUGUGAAAGCCCCGGGCUCAACCUGGGAAUUGCAUUUGAGACUGCAUAGCUAGGGUGCGGAAGAGGGAAGCGGAAUUUCCGGUGUAGCGGUGAAAUGCGUAGAUAUCGGAAGGAACAUCAGUGGCGAAAGCGGCUUCCUGGUCCAGCACCGACGUUCAGGCACGAAAGCGUGGGGAGCAAACAGG